GUUGGGUAGGGGAGCGUUCUGUAAGCCUGCGAAGGUGGCCUGUGAGGGUUGCUGGAGGUAUCAGAAGUGCGAAUGCUGACAUAAGUAACGAUAAAGCGGGUGAAAAGCCCGCUCGCCGGAAGACCAAGGGUUCCUGUCCAACGUUAAUCGGGGCAGGGUGAGUCGACCCCUAAGGCGAGGCCGAAAGGCGUAGUCGAUGGGAAACGGGUUAAUAUUCCCGUACUUGGUGUUACUGCGAAGGGGGGACGGAGAAGGCUAUGUUGGCCGGGCGACGGUUGUCCCGGUUUAAGCGUGUAGGUGUGUGUUCCAGGUAAAUCCGGUUCACUUUAACACUGAGGCGUGACGACGAGGCACUACGGUGCUGAAGCAACAAAUGCCCUGCUUCCAGGAAAAGCCUCUAAGCAUCAGGUAACAUCAAAUCGUACCCCAAACCGACACAGGUGGUCAGGUAGAGAAUACCAAGGCGCUUGAGAGAACUCGGGUGAAGGAACUAGGCAAAAUGGUGCCGUAA
rnacentral:rRNA from 1 species